rnacentral:miRNA from 1 species
UAGUGACAGUGAGUGAGGGAGUGACUAGUGACAGAGAGAGGGAUGGGGUGACUAGUGACAGUCACCCCCUCCCUCUGUCACUAGUCACUCCCUCCCUCUGUCACUAGUC